rnacentral:lncRNA from 1 species
AAAAAUCAAAAAAUCAAAAAAUCAAAAAAUCAAAAAAUCAAAAAAUACAAAAAUCAAAAAAUCAAAAAAUCAAAAAAUCAAAAAAUCAAAAAAUCAAAAAAUCAAAAAAUCAAAAAAUCAAAAAAUCAAAAAAUCAAAAAAUCAAAAAAUCAAAAAAUCAAAAAAUCAAAAAAUCAAAAAAUACAAAAAUCAAAAAAUCAAAAAAUACAAAAAUCAAAAAAUCAAAAAAUCAAAAAAUCAAAAAAUCAAAAAAUCAAAAAAUCAAAAAAUCUAAAAAUCUAAAAAUCUAAAAAUCUAAAAAUACAAAAACUGUUUUUGUGCUGUCGCGUCUGGGCCGUCGUAAAUAAG